rnacentral:rRNA from 1 species
AUGCAGUCGAACGCGAACGCACCUUCGGGUGUUAGUAGAGUGGCGGACGGGUGAGUAACACUUGGGAAUCUGCCUAGUAGUGGGGGAUAACUCGGGGAAACUCGAGCUAAUACCGCAUACGCCCUACGGGGGAAAGAUUUAUCGCUAUUAGAUGAGCCCAAGUCAGAUUAGCUAGUUGGUAGGGUAAAGGCCUACCAAGGCGACGAUCUGUAGCUGGUCUGAGAGGACGAACAGCCACACUGGGACUGAGACACGGCCCAGACUCCUACGGGAGGCAGCAGUGGGGAAUAUGGGACAAUGGGCGAAAGCCUGAUCCAGCAAUGCCGCGUGUGUGAAGAAGGCCUGCGGGUUGUAAAGCACUUUCAGUUGGGAAGAUGAUGACGUUACCAACAGAAGAAGCACCGGCUAACUCCGUGCCAGCAGCCGCGGUAAUACG